AUUGAACGCUGGCGGCAGGCCUAACACAUGCAAGUCGAGCGGUAGAGAGAAGCUUCCUUCUCUUGAGAGCGGCGGACGGGUGAGUAAAGCCUAGGAAUCUGCCUGGUAGUGGGGGAUAACGUUCGGAAACGGACGCUAAUACCGCAUACGUCCUACGGGACAAAGCAGGGGACCUUCGGGCCUUGCGCUAUCAGAUGAGCCUAUGUCGGAUUAGCUAGUUGGUGAGGUAAUGGCUCACCAAGGCGACGAUCCGUAACUGGUCUGAGAGGAUGACCAGCUACACUGGACCUGAGACACGGUCCAGACUCCUACGGGAGGCAGCAGUGGGGAAUAUUGGGCAAUGGGCGAAAUCCUGACCCAGCCAUGCCGCGUGUGUGAAGAAGGUCUUCGGAUUGUAAAGCACUUUAAGUUGGGAGGAAGGGUUGUAGAUUAAUACUCUGCAAUUUUGACGUUACCGACAGAGUAAGCACCGGCUAACUCCGUGCCAGCCGCCGCCGUAA
rnacentral:rRNA from 1 species